GUACUGCUGUUGUCACUCUGCACGUCCUCGUUUCGACUUGGUUGAUUGAUUCUUGUUUCAACUCCUUGCAGGGCGAGCUUUGUUUUUUACAAAAGACUUCAACCUUCGCAAAAACCUUUCAAUGGGAUACAUCCACCGAUACUGGACAGGUCCACCAGUAAUAGCUUCCUGGGCUAAAUGGAUUGGUAGAUGCAACAUUACAUCAAAGAAUGAAGGGGGGAAAAUCAUCUCUAACUUACAGAGGGUAACAGCAAUUGAUGAUGCAAGCUUCUUGAGAAUUUCAGUAUCUAAUUUCUUGGAACAAAUUUCUCUAAAAAAGCUACAUAGCUCAAUUAUAGCCUCACAAACAUCAGCAGGCAGAACUCCACGAAUAGAAAGUGGAAGGUAUCUGUGUAAAAAUACAUGACAAUCAUGACACUACAUCCCUGAUAUUUUAGCUUUUGUUGCAUCCACAUAGUGUGAAAUUUUUGAAGAGUAUCCAUCUGGCACUUUUAUUUCUCUAAGGAACUCACAAAAUGCUUUCUUCUCAGCUAGUGUCAUUGUAUAGCAUGCAGGAUGAAAUAAGAACUUCCCAUCACCAGUUGGAGGUGCAUGAAGUUCAGGCUGUAUUUUCAUGAGUUCCAAAUCAAACCGGGAUUUAAUAUUGUCCUUUGUCUUCCCAUCUAGAUUUAACAAGCAUUCCAGAAAUCAUUCGUCAUCUCAUCCAUACGAAACCCAGCUUGAUCUUCCAUCUCACAAUUUGCAUCUUCAUCAGAUUCUGGUA